rnacentral:rRNA from 1 species
CCUANGGGUGGCUGCAGUGGGGAAUAUUGGACAAUGGGGGCAACCCUGAUCCAGCGAUGCCGCGUGUGUGAAGAAGGCCUGCGGGUUGUAAAGCACUUUAGUUGGGGAGGAGAGUAUGUGUGUGAAUAAUACAGAUACGAGACGUUACCCAAAGAAUAAGCACCGGCAAACUCUGUGCCAGCAGCCGCGGUAAUACAGAGGGUGCAAGCGUUAAUCGGAGUUACUGGGCGUAAAGGGCAUGUAGGCGGUCGCAUAAGUCAGUUGUGAAAUCCCCGGGCUUAACCUGGGAACUGCAAAUGAUACUGUGAGACUAGAGUCGAAGAGAGGGAAGUGGAAUUUCCGGUGUAGCGAUGAAAUGCGUAGAUAUCGGAAGGAACAUCAGUGGCGAAGGCGACUUCCUGGCUUCAGACUGACGCUGAGGUGCGAAAGCGUGGGUAGCGAACAGGAUUAGAUACCCCUNUANUC